UAAAACCAACAAAAUAGAACCGAGGUCCUGUUUUAUCAUUCCAUGCACCACUAUUCAGGCAGAUAUUUCAGCCUGCUUUAAGCACUCUAAUUUGUUCAAAGUGAACGUGUUGGCCGAUCUCUCCUACUUCGGUGCUCUUAAACGAGUGUCGAGGUAGGGCGACACGUUCACUUUGAACAAAUUAGAGUGCUUAAAGCAGGCUGAAAUAUCUGCCUGAAUAGUGGUGCAUGGAAUGAUAAAACAGGACCUCGGUUCUAUUUUGUUGGUUUUAGGAAUAUGAGGUAAUGAUCAAUGUGGACUGGCGGGGG
rnacentral:ncRNA from 1 species